UAUUAUGAGGAUUUGAUCCUGGUCCAGGAUGAACGCUGGUGGUGUGGAUAAGGCAUGCAAGUCGAACGAAACAUUUUUAUGUUUAGUGGCAAACGGGUUAGUAACACCUUGGUACCUACCCUGAAGACGGGAAUAACUUCGCGAAAGUGAAGGUAAUACCCGAUAGUCUCGCAAGAGUAAACGAUUUAUCGCUUCAGGAUGGGCCUAGGCUCGAUCAGCUUGUUGGUGAGGUAAUGGCUCACCAAGGCUACGACCGAUAGGGGGGCUGAGAGGCCGAUCCCCAACAUUGGAACUGAGACACUGUCCAAACUCCUACGGGAGGCUGCAGUCGAGAAUAUUCCGCAAUGGACGAAAGUCUGACGGAGCGACACCACGUGCAGGAUGAAGGCCUUCGGGUCGUAAACUGCUUUUAUUAGGGAAGAAGUUAUUGACGGUACCUAAUGAAUAAGAAGCUGCAAACCUCGUGCCAGCAGCAGCGGUAAUACGAGGGCUUCAAGCGUUAUCCGGAAUUAUUGGGCGUAAAGCGUACGCAGGCUGUCUAGUGCGUCUUGUGUGAAAUCUCAACUGCUCAACAGUGAGAAUUGCGCAGGAUACGGCUAGACUAGAGAAUGUGAGAGGUUAGUGGAACUCAAAGUGUAGGGGUGAAAUCCGUUGAUAUUUUGGGGAACACCGAAGGCGAAGGCAGCUAACUGGCACAUUUCUGACGCUCAGGUACGAAAGCGUGGGUAGCGAAUGGGAUUAGAUACCCCAGUAGUCCACGCCGUAAACGAUGUUCACUAGCUGUUUCGAGUAUCGACCCUCGGAGUGGCGUAGCUAACGCGUUAAGUGAACCGCCUGGGAAGUACGGCCGCAAGGCUAAAACUCAAAGGAAUAGACGGGGACUCGCACAAGCGGUGGAGCGCGAGGUUUAAUUCGUUACUAAGCGGAAAACCUUACCCAGGCUUGACAUUCUAAUGAAAGACUCAAGAAAUUGAGUCCCCUCUUCGGAGCAUUAGGACAGGUGCUGCAUGGUUGUCGUCAGCUCGUGCUUUGAAGUGUUCCCUUAAGUGGGGUAACGAGCGCAACCCCUACUCUGUGUUACAAGUGUCACAGAGGACCGCCCCCGCUUUUGCACGCAAGGUGCAGAAGCGGAAAUCACCAAAUCACAAACUCCAAAUUCAAAAACAUCUUUGAUUAUUGGUGCUUGAUGAUUGGUUAUUCUUUUACACGCUUUGCGUAUAAAAGCGGGGGAGGAAGGAAGGGAUGACGCCAAAUCAGCAUGGCCCUUUGAUGCCUGGGGCCACACUCGCGCUACAAUGGUUAGUACAAUGGGUUGCCAAAUCGUAAGAUGGAGCUAAUCCCAAAAAACUAGCCUAAGUUCGGAUUGAGGGCUGCAAUUCGCCCUCAUGAAGUCGGAAUCGCUAGUAAUCGUGAAUCAGCAUGUCACGGUGAAUACGUUCUCGAGUCUUGUACUCAAAAUGAAAUGCGCCGGGCAGCUAUUUU
rnacentral:rRNA from 1 species